rnacentral:rRNA from 1 species
GACGAACUGUUCUAACGUUAUUCGGAAUCACUGGGCUUAAAGGGCGCGUAGGCUGUUUGUUAAGCGGGGUCUGAAAUCCCUCGGCUCAACCGAGGAACUGGGCUUCGAACUGGCAGACUAGAGUGAAGUAGGGGUAAGCGGAACUUGCGGUGGAGCGGUGAAAUGCUUUGAUAUCGCAAGGAACACCGGCGGCGAAGGCGGCUUACUGGGCUUCAACUGACGCUGAGGCACGAAAGCGUGGGGAGCAAACAGGAUUAGAUACCCGGGUAGUCCCUGAGCGGG